GAGCCGGUCCCAGUAUUUAUGAGGCCAGAAGCAAAUCCUACUAUAUAAAAGAAACUAAUUUAGAGAGUUCUCAAGGUGUCCACAUAGGACAAAAUAUUCUCAACCAAUUAAUAUGCCAUGUCACUACAGAUUUGUCUUAACUUCAAGGUCUGGGCCACAAAUCCAACCAGUCCAUCAAGAUAUUCGACCUAUUAGCAAUUUUUUGGGCUCAAUCGUAAACCUUACAGCUUCCUCCCCUUUAGUCCUACUCACUUCUAAAUUCAAGAGCUUGCCUAAUCGAUUUGCCUACUCAGGCGUAACGCCUGCGUCUACAUCUAUGGAACUUCAAUGCUCUUUAAUAAACCCAUCAAGACGAGGCUUCAUGUACCUCUCCACAUCACUCCUCUCAGCCAACAAUAUUGAUGGCUCUUCAAGGAACCAUCAUUACUUGCUCAUUAGAAACGCAUCCUAGCUCUCUACUUUCCCUUCUGCAAACUAUAUAUAUUCUCAUCAUCCUCUUCCCCAGCUGCUAAACUUCAUUGACAGAAAUCCGUAAUAUGGAAAAUUGACAAAAAAGAGACCACCACGAAAUCUCCAUCUGUACUCUUCUUUAAUCAGGUUUUUUUGGAAGAUAUAUUCAACUUUGCGUUUAAAUUUUUCUCUGAUUUCAAAAUUGCAGUUCCCUUGCGUAGGGAUUGAUGGCUAGAUAUUUGAAGGUUAACAUUACAUUGGGGUCAGCAUCCUCAUUUGGGUCCACACAUAUAAUUGUAUUUUUGUUUUUGAAUGAAUAUUCUGAUUAUAAGUUUAAUAUUAUAUUUAACAGAAAAACUAAAUUGAUAGCUGAAUAAUCUGAUAACACGUUUAGUAUCAUAAGCACGUUGGUCCCAUAUUUAUUCUUCUCUACAAGUUUAUAAAAGAAAUGAACACUGAUUCUUAGAGUGAUUUAUGAUUCAAUAUAUUAGACAUUUGAUUUUUGAUUUUUUCAAUACAUGCUAGAUUGAAACCUGUUUGUAUGAUUUUUUUUUUGGUUCUACCUUUCCUUAGGAGUUUCUGAUUCAGAAAGUGGAGACCUUAAAGAGUACAAGGAGCAUGCUGAUAAUUUCAUGGAGAUUAAUUACCAUCCUCCUCCUAGGCGAGAUAGUAACACACUAACACCUUCUUCUAGCUUCUUUAUAAGGCUUAGGAUUGAGUACAUAUUAAGUGCGUGAGUCCGAGAAGCUAAGAACUACGGACCCACUUAACAUGUUAUCUACUUUUAUGCAUCACAACAAGUUGAACAGCAGAGUAGUCUUUGGAAUAACUUUUGUAUUCUGUGGUUUUUAAGUUUCUAUAUUUUCGGUUUAAGAUGAAGUUUCAGUAUACUGCUAAAAAAUUAAUAUUCUCUAUAAAAUUCUUUUGGUUGC